rnacentral:snoRNA from 1 species
AUGGCAAAGAUUAAUGUGCAAAUUAUACCAAUUGUUCCAACUGAAUAAGUGUAUGUCGACAACUGCUAAUAUCGUUAAGUUUCAGCCUUGUAUGAGCCAU